rnacentral:lncRNA from 1 species
AAUUCAAUAUAUUUUUAUAAUUUUAAAUUGGCCGGUUUCCAUUAUUCACGUGAACCGUACAGAGAUUCUCUACUAUUCACGUACAAAAAAAUGAAGUAACUCUACACGUAAAAGAAAAGAAAAGGAGAAACAGAUAAAGAUUACUUCUCGGAUGGACUGCUAGUCUACUAUUCGUCCAAUUCAUUGUGAAAAAUGUAUCUUCAUCACUAGUUUUUUUCUUGACACGGAUUUAAAAGAAAUUCCACUAGCUACUUGAUGAGCUCUCAAUUGGAUUAUCAAGACUGCCGGCCAUUGACUACACUAUUAGACAAAACAGGUAAACUAGGCAAAUCCUGGGCUCCGCAAAGUUGAGUUCUUGCCUUCUUGGUGGCGGGAUCAAUAAAGGCCUCUCUGUGGUCAUUAUCUUGAGCUAAAGCAACUCUCCACCAACGUAAGACCUGGUAAUAAUCUCUCUCAAUCAAAAUUCACAGCAAAAACAUAGAACAGCAGCAGCAAAGGUUUGACCUUCAACCAAAACCCAGAAACUAAAACAGCUUAAGCUGCAAAAAGACUACAAAUUCAACAGACUUGGAGGAAAAUCACCUGUACUAUGAGCUCUCUUUACACUCUGAAAACUCUCGACACUUGUUUCUCAAGC